GUAGGUGGCAAGCAUUGUCCGGAAUUAUUGGGCGUAAAGCGCGCGCAGGUGGUUCUUUAAGUCUGAUGUGAAAGCCCCCGGCUCAACCGGGGAGGGUCAUUGGAAACUGGGGAACUUGAGUGCAGGAGAGGAAAGUGGAAUUCCACGUGUAGCGGUGAAAUGCGUAGAUAUGUGGAGGAACACCAGUGGCGAAGGCGACUUUCUGGCCUGUAACUGACACUGAGGCGCGAAAGCGUGGGGAGCAAACAGGGAUUAGAUACCCUGGUAGUCCACGCCGUAAACGAUGAGUGCUAAGUGUUGGGGGGGUUUCCCGCCCCUCAGUGCUGCAGCUAACGCAUUAAGCACUCCGCCUGGGGAGUACGGUCGCAAGACUG
rnacentral:rRNA from 1 species